UCUAGACCUCAUCAGUAGCAACUCCCAUCAUGGAAAUGCAUUCAACAAAAUUGGAGCCACUUGAUGGAAAUUGGCCCCUGUAGGUUAUUCAGUAAACCUUUGAAGGGCAGGGCUGAUGAAGAGAUGAAAUCUUGAGCAGACACACCCCACUGGGAAAACUCAGAUCUGUUCAAAAGGACAAAAAACAAGAUCAACCUGAAAGUGCUAUAUAGAUAUCAAUUAUUAUCUUACCAUAAAGGAGAACAGUUGCCAGGGUUGUAGAGAGCUUCAAGUCACACUUAAUCUAUCUUAAAUGAAGAAAAGGAUAAUGCUUCUGCCAAGGUACCUUCUUUCCCAUACCUCUCUCCAUCAUUCCACUUCAUUUUUAUGUGUUGUCCUCUAUCAUUGUAAUGUAAGCUCAUUGAGGACAAGGUCUAUCUUUCUUUUACUUGUAGCUGUAUGCAAAAUGCAUUUCACAGUG